rnacentral:rRNA from 1 species
CAUGCAAGUCGAACGGAGUCUGCAUGAAACCUAGUGAUUGCAGACUUAGUGGCGGACGGGUGAGUAACGCGUGGGUAACCUGCCUUGUACUGGGGGACAACAGUUGGAAACGACUGCUAAUACCGCAUAAGCGCACAGCUUCGCAUGAAGCAGUGUGAAAAACUGAGGUGGUACAAGAUGGACCCGCGUCUGAUUAGCUGGUUGGUGAGGUAACGGCUCACCAAGGCGACGAUCAGUAGCCGGCCUGAGAGGGUGAACGGCCACAUUGGGACUGAGACACGGCCCAAACUCCUACGGGAGGCAGCAGUGGGGAAUAUUGCACAAUGGGGGAAACCCUGAUGCAGCGACGCCGCGUGAGUGAAGAAGUAUUUCGGUAUGUAAAGCUCUAUCAGCAGGGAAGAAAGAAAUGACGGUACCUGACUAAGAAGCCCCGGCUAACUACGUGCCAGCAGCCGCGGUAAUACGUAGGGGGCAAGCGUUAUCCGGAUUUACUGGGUGUAAAGGGAGCGUA